GUGUCAGCCGCCGCGGUAAGACGUAGGGGGCAAGCGUUGCUCGGAAUCACUGGGCUUAAAGGGCGCGUAGGCGGUUGUGUAAGUCCAGGGUUGAAGGCCCCGGCUCAACCGGGGAAAGGCCUUGGAGACUGCAUGACUUGAGUGAGCGAGGGGAGGGCGGAAUUCCUGGUGUAGCGGUGAAAUGCGUAGAUAUCAGGAGGAAGGCCUGUGGCGAAGGCGGCCCUCUGGCGCUCAACUGACGCUGAGGCGCGAAAGCGUGGGUAGCAAACAGGAUUAGAUACCCUGGUAGUCCACGCCCUAAACGGUGGGCACUAGGUGUGGGGCUCGAGAGGGUUCCGUGCCGAAGGGAAACCAAUAAGUGCCCCGCCUGGGGAGUACGGCCGCAAGGUUGAAACUUAAAUGAAUUGGCGGGG
rnacentral:rRNA from 1 species